UGGUUGAUCCUGCCGGACCCUACUGCUAUCGGGAUGGGACUAAGACAUGCUAGUCGUGCGCCUCCAAGCCAUGGUGGAGGCGCGGCGCACAGCUCAGUAACACGUGGUUAACCUGCCCUUGGGACGGAAACACCCCCGGGAAACUGGGGCUAAUUUCCGAUAGGUGAAGGCUCCUGGAAUGGAUCUUCGCCUAAAGAGCGCUUAGACCAUGCUUCUAGGCGCUGCCCAAGGAUGGGACCGCGGCCGAUCAGGUUGUUGGUGAGGUAACGGCUCACCAAGCCUUUAACCGGUACGGGCCGUGGGAGCGGGAGCCCGGAGAUGGGCACUGAGACAAGGGCCCAGGCCCUACGGGGCGCAGCAGUCGCGAAAACUCCGCAAUACGCGAAGGCGUGACGGGGUCAUCCCGAGUGCCGUCCGCUGAGGAUGGCUUUUCCCCAUUGUAGAUAGCUGGGGGAAUAAGGAGAGGGCAAGUCUGGUGUCAGCCGCCGCGGUAAUACCAGCUCUCCGAGUGGUGGGGACGUUUAUUGGGCCUAAAGCAUCCGUAGCCAGCUGAGCAAGUCCUCAGUUAAAUCCAGCGAUUUAAUCGUUGGACUGCUGGGGAUACUGUCCGGCUAGGGGGUGGGAGAGGCCGACGGUAUUCCUGGGGUAGGGGUGAAAUCCUAUAAUCCCGGGAGGACCACCAGUGGCGAAGGCUGUCGGCUAGAACAUGCCCGACGGUGAGGGAUGAAAGCUGGGGGAGCGAACCGGAUUAGAUACCCGGGUAGUCCCAGCUGUAAACGAUGCAGGCUAGGUGUUAGGGCGGCCACGUGCCGCUCUAGUGCCGCAGGGAAGCUGUUAAGCCUGCCGCCUGGGGAGUACGGCCGCAAGGCUGAAACUUAAAGGAAUUGGCGGGGGAGCACCACAAGGG
rnacentral:rRNA from 1 species